ACCUGGGUAGCUCAGUUGGUUGGGCGUCUUACUUUGGCUCAGGUCAUGAUCUCACAGUCCGUGGGUUCGAGCCCCACACCAGGCU
rnacentral:tRNA from 1 species